rnacentral:misc_RNA from 1 species
GAUGAAGAACGUAGCGAAAUGCGAUAAGUAAUGUGAAUUGCAGAAUUCAGUGAAUCAUCGAAUCUUUGAACGCACAUUGCGCCCGCCAGUAUUCUGGCGGGCAUGCCUGUUCGAGCGUCAUUUCAACCAUCAAGCCCCCGGCUUGUGUUGGGGACCUGCGGCUGCCGCAGGCCCUGAAAACCAGUGGCGGGCUCGCUAGUCACUCCGAGCGUAGUAAUACAUCUCGCUCAGGGCGUGCUGCGGGUUCCGGCCGUUAAAAAGCCUUAUUUACCCAAGGUUGACCUCGGAUCAGGUAGGAAGACCCGUUGAACUUAAGCAUAUCAAUAAGCGGAGGA